GUGGGUUACGGUGAUAUGGCACCAAAAACGUAUGCUGGCAUGUUUGUUGGUGCUCUUUGUGCCAUUGCUGGUGUACUUACCAUUGCGCUUCCAGUUCCCGUUAUUGUCUCCAAU
rfam:Tetranychus urticae London genomic scaffold, scaffold_12